rnacentral:misc_RNA from 1 species
CAGAGUUGCAAAAACUCCCACAAACCAUCGCGAAUCUUACCCGUACGGUUGCCUCGGCGCUGGCGGUCCGGAAGGCCCUCGGGCCCCCCGGAUCCUCGGGUCUCCCGCUCGCGGGAGGCUGCCCGCCGGAGUGCCGAAACCAAACUCUUGAUAUUUUAUGUCUCUCUGAGUAAACUUUUAAAUAAGUCA